UCAUGAACGGAAGUAGCUGAAGCUUUUCAUCGAUCAGCUUCGUACAGUCGCAGGUUCCUUUUUUUUUUUCUUCUAACUGGGAAGAAUCCUGUUGAUUGUGAGACCUUGAGGUCGCCAUGGAAGUAUCGGCUUCUUCAUGCAACAGGUUCUCAUCGCUACCCCAAAAGAAGCUACUACGAUGUUCUUGGUGUUUCAGAGGAUGCCAGACACGAUGAGAUUAAGAAGGCUUUUCAUGUGCUUGCAAAGAAGUACCAUCCUGAUGCAAAUAAUAAUGAUCGUUCUGCAAAGAGGAAUUACAAAAGAUAAGAGAUGUUUAUGAGGUUUGGCUAAUUGAUUAGAUGCCAGUGGAGGAAAACUUUUUCCACAGAUUUUCACAUGCUGUUUGGAUGUCUGAUACGUUUGGGGUGACAAUUUUUCUUUCUUGCCUUUUCAACUAAUCUCAGGCUUUGCAAAGUCCUGGAAAAAGAGCAGAGUACGACAAAGUAAAAUCUCUCACUCUUUCUACUUUUAACUGAAUGACAUAGUGAACUUAGCAUCUGAAAGCACAGCUGCAUUCAUAAGAGCGUGUUUUGCUCAUUGUGCUUUUUACAUUAAUUUAAUGAAGAAAUGCCGUGGAAGUUCAGAAAAUGUUGAAUAUGGUGAAGGAGAUGCUGAGGGGUUUCCACGUUAUUAUGAAAGGCAUUUCUCUAGUUCAUUCCACAAGAUCUUUUCUGGGGUAAUUCCAAGUGUGCCACACGUCAGUAUCUUCCAAUCUUCUGAUCCAUGAUAUUUAGCUAAAGAAACAUUUGGUGUCAUAUCAGAAUUUUCAGGACAAGAUGGAUCGAUUUGCAUCUGAUGUUGAGGUUCACAGUUAUACUCUUGGUCUUCUUUGUUUAUGAGAUAAUAUUACCCGGAUUUCCACCCUUUAUCUUGUUUGCUUAAUGAGAUAAUAUUGUAGGAUUAAUGCCCACGUUAUGUUGAAAAUUUAUAGGUGGAACUGAUAUUUUCUUUCCUCAAAGCUGUGGAAGAGUGCACAAAGAUGUUUCCUUUGUCAAAUGUCUUGUGAUACUUGUUGGUUAGUCGAGUUUGGUAUUUUUUAUUUUUUAUCACACUGGUUACAGUGACAGUACAUCCUUCAACCUCUUGUUUCUGCAAUGUCUCUUGGAGAUCAAAUUGAUUAUAUAUGUAGCUUUAGAUGCUAAAAAUGUGAUCAAUUUAUGCUCACUGGUACUCUGCUGCUCUGGUCCCGUUUGCUUGCUAAAGGUUUUUCAACCAAUGUGUGAUUAGUUUUUGCACUUUUUGAAGGUUUUGGCUUGUCCACGUAGAACCUAAAAGUAUGAUGAAAAGCAUGGAUAAUUUAUUAUAUAUGAGAAGCAAGAUUUACGAUUGGUUGAGGUGGCUUCUAAGAAUUGGCAAAAAUUGAGGUGCCUGGAAAGUGUAGGGCAAUUAUGCCUCUAAUGAGAGUUAAAUUUACUGUGAUUUUUUUUAUCAGUGGCUGUACAUAACCAUAUGAAAAUCCCAGUUACUGAUCUUUGAUUUUGCUUAUGAUAUCCUUUGAUUUUUAUUAGUUACUUUGCAGGGUUUUUCUUUUAGUACAUUUCCUGUAGCAAAAUCAUGACGAUAUGUCUACAUGGUAAUUGCAGAUGGGUGGGCUUGUUCACCUGCUGUCGAGGUGAGAGUAUGUCCAACUUGCAGUGGCAUUGGGAGGGUAAGAGCUUCCAUGAGCUCUGCAAUUAUGCUGAUUAAUUGUUGAGUUCUUCUGAACCGUUUGCUCACCAGGAUAAUUGUGUGAUUCAUCAGAAGUUUGAUGGACCAUCACAUUCGUAUAUAUGACAUGUACUUUGUCUUCCUUGCUAUUAGGUAAAAAUCUCCCCAUUUACUCCAAUGACAUGCACUACCUGUAAAGGCUCGAAGUCAGUUGUCAAGGUUUAACAUCAUUUCUCCAGUUCCUGCUUUAAUUUCAGUUUUCUUGGUGAAGCUUCCAAUACUUAGUAACUUUGGGUAGGAGCAAUGCAUUUCAUGUGGGGGAUCAGGAGUUCUUGAAGGCACUAAGGAAAUUAAAGUUACAAUUCUUUCAGGUAGGUCAGAGUUAUUAAUCUCUGACAGAGUCUUGUGGUUUUUGUGUUCGAUGCAUCCUUUCUGUGAAGAUGUAAAAUGAUGAAUAAGGCUAACUGGGUUGAGACUUGAGAUCUGGGAGUGAACAGGUUGUGCAUGCUCAUUUUACAGCUUUAUGGCCUCAGUUCUUUAAGUUAUAUGCAUGCAACAUCUGUGAAUAUUGUUAUUACUGUCAAAACGUGCUUCUAUAGGAUUCACUGCUUUAAUAUUCUGGUUUGAGUGUAAAUUACAUGCACAUGGGUUCAGGCUGUGUUGUUAAACCUAUAUUUUUUGAACUACCUUUCUCGGAUGAUUGCAACAUUCACGGAGCCAAGUUCUGUUACUCCCAUUUUCUUCCUACAGUGUUAUGCACUGCUCAUGGUUGAUUCUCUGAUGAUCUUGAAGCAUUUCCCCUCUGUAAGGAAAUAAUUUCUUGUUGACACUGCUAGGCUUUUACUGCUCCAUGUGAUGGCUGCAGGAGAAAUAACACUAGUAAAAUGCAAUGGGAUGUGUGUCUGAAAUAUGAACCAUGUCCCGCACAAGUUGUCUGGUCAGGGAAAAAAACAGCUUAAGCAUUAAGGAUCUUUUUUGUCACCAUCAUGCGGCUUCAGUAGCAUCAUGAUACUUGUCUGUAUCAUUUAGUGUUAGUGAACAUGCAAAGUUCAUUGUCGCAGGAGUUUGCUUUAUCUCAAGCAUCAUGAUGCUUUUUCCCAAAAUGAGAGCAUGACUAGCUUUAUGCUUUUCAAUAAUUAUUAUUCGUUUGGAUAUCUUCAUCUUAUGCAUUAUUAACCUGAAUACUGUAAAAAUUCUCUCUCUCUCUCUCUCUCUCUCUCUUCUCUCUCUUUCUCUCCGCACCGCACACUUGUGCUGGUGUUCUGAAAGUUAGGAUGUCAGAACAUUUAAUAUCAAACAGCACGUUAAUAUAAUAGUAUAUGCUUUUAAAUAAGUUGACUAGGAUCCCUUAUUACGACAUGGUGAGCAGAAUGUCCUGCGUUAUUUUCCAGGUCUCUUAGUAGCCUCACGUGGCUGACUCUUAACCUACCAAGAGAGGAAGUGUAAGAAUAUUUGAAUGUUAAAAAGUGCCACCAUAGAAAAGCUUUUCUGAUAUCUUGGGUUUUUCAGAUAAGUUGCCAUUUCCACAUUUUGCCUGUCUAAAGAGCUGACUCGUAAAUUUAUUUAUUGUGCAUGCGUAUAAUGGUGCAACAUGACCAUCUUCAUAUGUCAUAAUGUGUUUUCCUAAUUUGCUAACAUAGCCAUUAUCUUUUCUCUUGGGAUAUGGCCUGUUUUAAGGACAUCUUCAUUUAUGACCAAUGUUCAUAAAACAAAUAUGUCUAUGACACAUAUGGUCUCAGGAGACUUCAAAUGGCUGACAGGGUAAAUCAAUGCAGUCGGGACAUAUGACAUAGAUCCUCAUGUCAUGAGCAUGGAUUGCCUUUAUUAAAGAACAAAACUAUCUUCAGUGGGUAACCUGAUAUCUUCCAUUCCUGAAUGGAGUAGGUGUGGAUUCAGGACAUACAAUUCGCGUGCCAGAAGCUGGUAAUGCUGGAGCUCAUGGGAGUCUACCUGGCACUUAUUCAUCAAAUUAAAGGCAUGAUCCCCUCUUCUUUUCUGGUUGUAUGGUAAUAAAGAUGUUAAGGAUAACUUUGAUCUCACUCAAUGGUAGAAGCUUUAUCCUGCUGUCGUUGGAGCUUUCCUGUGUAGCUUUAUAGCAUCAUUUUUAUUUGAAGUCUGUCAUAUGAUUUAUCUGGAAUUUGUCCCAGAAACUGUGACUACCAUCAAAGAAUUUUGGUUGUGAUAGUGGAACAUUUCGAAGUCUUGCAUUACAUAACCGGUCACCUGCAUCACUGUCAGAUUGCCAACCGAAUGUGCACGUAAUUAGUAACUGUGCUCACGCAGGUGGCUGAAAAUCGUACCUUUACCAGAUGCAGUGAAGAUGUAUAUGUGGUCUCAGAAAUUAGCCAUACAAGUGAGAACAAAACUAUUGAGCAUAUUAUGUUUUUGCCUCUCGUUCCACUUAUAAGAAAGUUCCCUUCCCUAGCUUUAGCUCAUGCCAUAUCUGAAAUCCUGUUUGUGUUUAGGUUAGUAAUUCCUCUCAUCUAUCUUGAUGGUUGUAAAAUCUUAAAACUUUAAUUGAUAUUAGCUUUAAUUAUUGUUGGCGUACACUGAAAUUAAUACCUCAUUGUCGUGGCAUGUGUUGAUAGUUUGUUUGUAAAACAAAGUAAAAGUGCGUUGUCCCACAUAGAAAAGAUGGGAGUUUGGGCUGAUAUUUAAGUGUGAAAGUCUUCUAACAUUACAAUUGAAGACAAUGGGCUAAGUGGACUGGACACUACCAUACUCGCAUGCAAGUGCGUGAUUAUUAGGUGCACUUGUAUACAGGUAGUUAUUUUUGCUAAUGGUUAUUAGGCAUCUUACGACCUUUGAAAGGUUUUUCUAGUUCAAUAAGAUGAACUGUUCGAUUUUCUUCACUUUGUCAAUAUACAACUAUUAUUCUCCAAUUCUUUCCUUUUGAAAGUUCUAGGAGAAAUAUUAGAAUUGCUAUAUGGUAUUCUCAUUCAAGAUUUUGUUGUAUCUUGGAGGAUUUUUGCCAGUAACCAUUGGCAACCAUGAGGGGCAAUUAAUUCCUUCAAGACUGUCUUUUCACGCCUCUGAUUUCAUUCUUCCUGAUUGCUUAUUUCCCAACAGCUUGUUCAACUUUCUUUCAACUUUAUGAUUAUAGUACUGAACUAUUAUUUACUUGUGCAUUACUAUCAGUCAUGACUUUUCUAUUCAUGUCAUCAUUACUGUGUGUGUUUUUUUUUUUUUUUUUUUUUUUGCUGGC